AGCAGCCGCGGUAAUUCCAGCUCCAAUAGCGUAUAUUAAAGUUGUUGCAGUUAAAAAGCUCGUAGUUGAAUUUUGGACUCUUCCAAUUGGUCCAUCUUUUAGAUGAGUACUGGUUGUGUGGGGUCUAUCCGCCUGGUGAUACGUAAUGUCCUUUAUUGGAUGUUGCGGGUAGUCAGGACCUUUACCUUGAAAAAUUAGAGUGUUUAAAGCAGGCUUAUGCCGGAAUACAUUAGCAUGGAAUAAUAGAAUAGGACGAAGUUGUUUUAUUUGUUGGUUUCUAGGACAACCGUAAUGAUUAAUAGGGAUAGUUGGGGGCAUUAGUAUUCAACUGUCAGAGGUGAAAUUCUUGGAUUUAUUGAAGACUAACUACUGCGAAAGCAUUUGCCAAGGAUGUUUUCAUUAAUCAAGAACGAAGUUAGGGGAUCGAAGACGAUCAGAUACCGUCGUAGUCUUAACCAUAAACUAUGCCGACUAGGGAUCGGGCGAUGUUGUUCCAUGACUC
rnacentral:misc_RNA from 1 species